GGCCCAGUGGUCUAGGGGUAUGAUUCUCGCUUCGGGUGCGAGAGGUCCCGGGUUCAAUUCCCGGCUGAGCCC
rnacentral:ncRNA from 14 species